UUUAUUGACAUGCCGAGUUCUGUAUAUCGGAAACGGGGGAACCACCCAGGGUGAAUUGCUUAAUGUAUUUUUUUAAGCAUAGGGAUCUUCAACCGAACCCAUAAGCUAACCUCGUAGGCACCGAAGGGAGAAGUU
rnacentral:sRNA from 2 species